CCUAGAUGUGAAUUUAUGUUCUUGUACAUUCAAGGCCUUUAAUGUUAAGUUUUUCACAUGCAUUUAGGUCACAACACAAUACUUGUGACUGUGAGACAUGUUCCACGAUGACUUUGGACAAGUAUACAAAAAUACCCAAGGUGUUGGAUUCUAUGACCAAUGUACUUGUUCUUUUUUUGCAACAUCCCUUUUAGACUGUUUCUUCUCUUUUGUCCCUGCCUCUGGAUUUAUUUAAUACUCCAGUUUUCUCUUUCUACUGUAUAUUUGAGUCAUUUCUGGAUCUGAUCCAAAUGCUGCUGAAGUUCACAGCACUGGCUUCAAGAGACUCCUAGGAUCAGGUCCUUAAUAGGCAUUUAAUAAUGGCGUUGAAGAAAUUGCUCUGGGGCUUGAAGUCCAUUAGACAUUCAUAAAACAGGACUGAAGGGUGAUGGCUCACUGCUGGAAGCAUUUCUCUGUUUUCAUUACCAAGCAACGGUGCAAGAAGCCAACAGUAUCAUUUGAGGAUUAUCAUGCUCUCUUCUGAAGCCGAGAGUAUUGCAAGUCUGUAUAAAACUGAGUACUCCUACGUCAUCUGAACUCCUGCUGCUGCUCUACAAACUCGACAGCAGUUGAGCAACAAGAAGUACAGCUAGAGCUCAUCUGUGUAACUUGCCAAGCAUCCUACAAAAUGAAAUAGCUGUGACAAACCAAGGAAUCUGAGAACAUUCUUAUUCAGAGGCAGAAAUCAAACUAAAAUUGAACUUGAAGAGAGAUAAAGCAUCUGAAAAGGCAACGGAGCAGAUCUCUGGCACGUGGGCUAGUCUUUGAAGCCCUACAGAAGGUUGUGUUGGUGUUGUCUUUCUCUGACAGAGAGUGAAGCCAGGUCACAGCCAGAAAGUACAUGAGGCCACAAAGAAGCAAAGAUUUUAGCUACAUGUUCAGCCUUUUCCCAGAAGCAAUACAGCCUCGCUGGUCAAUGUUCAACAGAUACUGCAUGUUGUGGGAUCCAGCUUACUGUUAAGAACUAUGUGCUGAGUUGUCAACGUUUGGACAGCACUGGGCUACACACAGAUUUUCAUGAAGGCUGAUUCCUUACAUGCUGGUUAAACAUUACUAUUCCAACAAGAGAAAAGCUGAUCUGAAAUCUCAUUGGUGUCAGUUACUGGAGGAUGCUGUCUAGAAGGAAAGCACCCUAUAGUCUCCCUUCCAUUUUUUCUCAUCUGUUACUGCCCAUGACAAACAGAUUCAUUCUAAGUGGAAAUUUCAAGCCCAGUGAUACUGUCCCUUUCCUCAUCAGUCAACAGAGAGAUGCGUACACUGCAGAAUGGACAUGUGCCUCCCCAGAGCUACAGCCAAACCUACCGUGAUUUUGAGGACCAUCAGCAAAGGUCAGAGCAUCACUCUGCCAAGCCAUAAUGCAUCUAUCAACAUAAAGUCAAAGUCUGUCCCCAGGACUGCUAUGUGAAUAACACUGGAACUUUAAACUGUGCAGUUCACACCCUGUAUACAUACAAGAAAUUGAAGAAAUUCACAAUAAUUAACCUUAUUUGCAUUGUUCCAGCAGAAGGGAUGGGAAAGUGUUUCCAAAAGCAUUUGCAAAAAAUGUUCAUAGAGGUGCCUUCUGCAAUGCGAGGCUCUCCAUGGAAGAGCCCACAGAAGUAUAGUUAGUGCUUUUAAGUCAGCCCUGCACUGAGUAGAUUAUCUAAGAGAGAAGAAAAUGACACAGUGAAAGAACCUUGUUAAAAAUAUAGAUUAAAUUGACGAAGCCCAAAAGUUCUAAGUAAAUAUCUGUUUUUUGUUAAAAAUAAAAAAAAAAAUUAAAAAAAAAAAAAAAAGGAAAGAAAGAAUGUCAUUAUCAAUUCUGAAACAGCUGUUGUUCAGACACAGACGCAGUUCCCAUCAUUACACCGUAGAGAUACAGUUUCCUUAUCCCUCAUGUCUCCCUGCUCUUCUUGGCUGGGGAACGUGCUCAGGAUUUGUUGAGAAAGAAGUAUAUAUGAAUUCAGUCAUUCUUGUAUCUUGCUCACCUUGUAGAUAUAGGUGUAGACAUAUAACAAGAACAGUGGAAUAAGGCCAGAGUAUCCUGACUGUUGAUAAGGAUGGAUAAGAAGCAGAAAAUAGCAUUCGUGUUUAAAUCAAAAGAUAUCUAGCAGGUAUGAUGUCAGGACAAGCAGGCCUAUUGGUGUCCCUUUAAAGUACAGGAGAAGAGGAAUAGCUAAACUUAGUGUAUAUUUUUAUAAUCAGCUUUUUUUGUGAUCCUGAAAACUCACAUAUUUACUUCUCACUACAUGUGCUUCCAUCAAACUUCAAAGUAUGGACAACUCAGUUCAAAAUUGCAUUAUACCUCUUAGUUGGCUGUUGGCUAUAUAUACUGCGGAAGGACUGAACAAAAGAAUCAUGUAACUUGUCUUCUGGUAGUAACAGAAAUAUUAGUGGCAUAGACCAAGCUGUUGAUUUGUUACAUUUCAGGCCUCAGGUAAUAAUUUCACAGCUCUGCUGCAGGGUAGAACUAAAAGUACAUUGUUUUCUGACAAAAUGUAAUCAGAAUUGGUGACUAUCCAGAUUUCUAUGUAAGCAUUUGGUGUGAUGCUGUGUGUUUGUGUGUGUAUGCAUAUAUCUAUGUUUAUCUGUAUCUUGUCUUAACUGAUAUAAUGUAGACAGCACAAUGCAUUUUCCUCCAAAGACCUAUAAACUGAGCUCUAUUGAAUAGCUUAUGAUCCCAGAACCAUCUUUUCUGUUUAAUGGUGUAAUGUAUCUUCUGUAGACACGAAAAUCUGGAAAAUCACAUUAAUGCUAGGUUUAAUUAGAGUAAUGAUCAAAUUUGGAGGUUAGGCUUGAAAAAUACGUAUCCAGAUUGUCAAAAUUUCUUCAUCAAAGGUUCCUAUUGGAUGCCUGUGCUCGCUAACUUACUGUCUUCGGAGGUCUAUCAAAUUUGGACUAGACCUAGUUUGAUGGUUAAAACUGACUGUAAUAUUGACAAGUUUUUGGUAUGACAUGAAAAGUAUUGAAGUUUAUUGUUCUACAGACUUCUUUCUAGGCUUUAGCUGAGACACAUAUAGGAAUUAUUUUCUUUCUUUAGACAUCUUCACAAAACGUGCAGUAAUAAAAUUUUGUCUUAAACACCUCUACUUUUCUUUGAAUCUGUGUAGAAAUUUGAAUUAUUAGGAACAAGAGAUGAAAAGGGAUAGAAAACAUAGCCAUAAGUUUCCUUCCCCAAGAAAAUAGGUUUAAAGUGUUUGCUAACAGUUGCUAAGACAAACAAUUAUAAAAAAAAAAUAGUUUAUUGCCAUUUCUUGCCUGAGAACCAAAAAGCCAAUUAAUAUUUAAGCAGUCACUUUCCAUCUGCCUAGUCCUGAUUUGUCCAUCUGUCAGCAGUGAUCUCCAUCAAAGCUUACCAGGAGGAUGAGCAUCUCUCAGCAGACUCUCCAAGACUGAAGGAAGCCUAUUUCACUAGCAUGGAUAGCACUGUUGUAGCUUUUGUCUUCAGUGCCCAUUGCGCUCUUGGACAGGGUAACAUAAACGAAUAUGCUUCCUCUCACUAGUGAGUGGAGAGCAGCUGCUGAUAAGGGGAAUCAUACAGUGGGAAGGGAAUGAGAUUUUAAGUAAUCUGGGCAAUGACAGCCCUGAGGGUUCUGCAGCUUGUAAGCAGCAUGGACACUCUCUGACCUUGCUUUCUUUGCCUCAUUUCACCUGAUAAAUGAGUGUGGUGCACUGGGAGUUCGGGUCUACCCGCCCACAGCAGUGCAAAUCACUUCACUGAAGGGAUAAUUGAGUAUGUGAGAGGCUCUGCUCAGAGAACUUUCACAUGAUUGCAGUUGCAAAGGGUAACCACUUCCUCAGCCUGUCUGACUGAAAGGUGAGUCAAACAGAGAUCAGUACAGGCACUAACAGAGUAACUAGAGAUGAAAGGAGAAAACCCCACAGCUCAUAAUGAGUGAGGAGACCCACAGCUCUGGUGCACUGACCAAGUGUGUGGUCACUCCAAGUUAGCAUGAUGUGAGUGCAAAUGGACAUGGGUCCCAUUUCUUUGUCCAGAAUAUCACAGGCAGAAAUACGCAUCUCACUGAACCUCCUGCCUGUGCACUGUACAGAUGGCCAGCACAUGUGUGGUAUGUCAG
ensembl:lncRNA